rnacentral:rRNA from 1 species
UACAGAGGUCCCAAGCGUUGUUCGGAUUCAUUGGGCGUAAAGGGUGCGUAGGUGGCGCCGUAAGUGGGGUGUGAAAUUUCGGAGCUUAACUCCGAAACUGCAUUCCAUACUGCGGUGCUUGAGGACUGGAGAGGAGACUGGAAUUCAUGGUGUAGCAGUGAAAUGCGUAGAGAUCAUGAGGAAGGCCAGUGGCGAAGGCGGGGUCUCUGGACAGUUCCUGACACUGAGGCACGAAGGCUAGGGGAGCGAACGGG